rnacentral:rRNA from 1 species
UACGUAGGGUGCGAGCGUUGUCCGGAAUUAUUGGGCGUAAAGAGCUCGUAGGCGGUUUGUCGCGUCGACUGUGAAAACCUGGGGCUUAACUCUGGGCCUGCAGUCGAUACGGGCAGACUUGAGUUCGGUAGGGGAGACUGGAAUUCCUGGUGUAGCGGUGAAAUGCGCAGAUAUCAGGAAGAACACCAAUGGCGAAGGCAGCUCUCUGGGACGGUACUGACGCUGAGACGCGAAAGCGUGGGGAGCGAACAGG